AACCAGUUCGGCGUCCGGGUCGGUUUCUCCUCAUCUCCUUGAGCCUUGAGCAGGAGGCUGGUAGCUCCUCGCCAGCCACCGCCGCCGCAGCGGCCAGACAGCCCGCCAGCAGCGGCAGCUGGAGGCUCUCCGAAUCCACAAACCUUCCUGGCCUUGUCUCACCGCCAGAGGAGUCUCCUCUUUCCUAUCAAGUCUCUGGCUCCUUCGCUUCCCACACUCGCCUGGCCUCUGUCCUGCGAUGGUUUGGGGCUUACUGCUGGGGGAGCGACAGGAAUUUCGGCCCCAGGCGCCUAGUCAAAUUACUGGGUUUUUAUUUCUUCUUCUUGUUGUUAUUAUUAUUAUUAUUAUUACCAUCAUCAUCGUUAUUGCUGUAACAAUCAUCUAGACUAAAUAAAGCCAGGGCCCAGCCAGCUACCCCCCU
rnacentral:lncRNA from 1 species